CUGUGGCGGCGAAGGGAUUUGGCCGGUGGUGGUUCGGCUACCUGUCCGCCCAACUCAGCGACUACCUUCUUCUUAUUCACGUGGGACGUAUCCAAGUUUUCUAUGAGAAAAAUCGUGAAACUUUCAUCGGCUUUAAGCUGACUGUUCUUCCACCAUGGAACAGGUGGAGUUCCAGAGGAUUUUGCUGAGGGUGCAGGAGUUGCUCAGCCCGGCCGAGGUGCUCGAUCUGACGUUGCUCUGCUCCGAUCUGCUCAAGCAGGACCUCGGCAGUGUGACGGCAGGCAGAGAUCUGUUCUCUCUGCUGCAGAACCGUGGUCUGCUCACCUCAUACGACCCCUCCCUGCUCAUAGAGCUGCUGCAGAUCAUCAAACGCUCCAGCCUGGUCCGAGACCUGCGCUUAAAGAUGCAUCCACAGCUGCCAGGCACUCGGAUCUCCCCUUACAGACGGCUUUUGUAUGAGUUGCAGGAAAACAUGUCAAGUGAUGAUCUAAAGAAUUUUAAAUUCCUGUUGAUUGAGACUCUACCUCGCAAAAAAUUGCAGCAAGACAUGACAAUGCUACAGUUGUUUCUGGAGAUGGAGAAGAUCAAUUUCCUGGAUGCUGAUAACCUGGACAAUUUAGAGAAACUCAUUGGAGACAUCUGUCCCCGGUUAAACAAGUUAAUCAGUCAGUUUAAAACAGAGCAUGGUGCUGGUGUCAUUGCUCAGGAGACGAAAUUGAGAAGCAACAGUGGCUCUUUGGACCUUUCAGUAACCAUUGAAGCAGUUCAGCCUGAAUCUUAUAUCCAAAACGGGGACGCCACUCACGCUUCACACAUUCAGAGUGCACCUGCCAAGGAAGAGCUACUACCCCCCUCGUUUUUCUCUCCAUCCCCACCUGCUCAGAUGCUGCCCUCGCUGCCCACUUUCUCAGGCGACGCUGCAAGAGAUGUGGAGGGCCAGAUGGACAACCUGAGUCUCAGACAACGCUGCAGCCAGGUGCAAAGACCGUCUGCGGAGUCCACAGCUGAGGAAAUGAGCCCGAGUUGUCCGGACCAAAGGAACCAAAAAGACUUACCGAAAUUGGAAGAGUACAACAUGAAAGGAGACUGGAGAGGAUUUUGUCUGAUCAUCAACAACUACAAAUUCUCUUGCCCCAACUUAAAAGACAGACACGGGACUGACAAAGAUGAGAAGAGGUUAGUGGGUGUGUUUCAGUGGCUGGGCUUUGAGACACAGACGGUGCAAGACUGCAACAGGACGCAGAUGCUGCAGGAGCUGGAGCAGCUGCGUACUCGCGACCACUCCCAGGCCGACUGCGUGGUCUGCUGCGUGCUAACCCAUGGCUACAACGGCGGCAUCCACGGGGUAGAUGGGAGCAAGGUUGCGCUGAGGGAGCUGAUGGGGCCUCUGUCCGGCCACUGUUGCCCCCUGCUGAGCCAGAAGCCCAAACUUUUUUUUAUCCAGGCCUGCCAGGGCACCAAACACCAGGAGGUGGUUUUCCUGCAUUCAGAUGGCCUAGACGACAGCUCCAGCAUAAACGUGGGCAUCUCCUGCGAUGCAGCCGUGCCGAGUAACUCCAUACCAUCCCAUGCUGACUUCUUGAUGGCUUUGGCAACAGUCCCACUCUAUACCUCAUACAGAGAUAAAGUGAAGGGGACCUGGUUCAUACAGUCAUUGUGUGACAGCCUGCUUCAGAUGGUGCCAAGGGGUGUUGAUCUGCUGUCCAUCCUGACUCAUGUGAACAACGAGGUCAGCAAAAAAACAGACCCUUAUGGGACCAAGAAGCAAAUUCCACAGCCAGGAUUCACUCUGCGAAAGAGAGUUGUUUUCCCUGUUCCAAAACACCCCCCAACCCUUUAAUCAUCAUGUCUUGCUGCAGGCCUUCCAAAUCAUUGCAUGCUUACACAAGUAUCACAUGACUAAGCACAUGCAUACACACACACACACACACACACACACACACACACACAUACAUACAUACACACACACACACAUACAUACACACACACAUACAUACACACACACACACACACACACACAGGCAUUGAUGAAUCACGCAGGACUAUUCUUAAUUUUCUUUUUCUUUUCUUUUUCUUUUCCUUACACCAGUUUUAAGGAUAAUGUUUUAGCUGUUCCAUCUUAUGUUAUCUGCUUUCUUUCUUUACUGCCCAUCAGUAUUGAAUUAGCAUCAGCCAAUUCAAUACUGUAAACCAGUGCUUUCAGAAUAGCUAUAAUUAAAGUGAUCUCGCUUGUUCAGCAAGAAAAAAACAACUCUGCCUUACUUUUGAAACCCUUCAGAUUACGAGUUGUCGCCAGCUCUGAAAAUCCAAGCUCAUGUUUAUUCAGGCUUUUCUGAGUUCACAUUUUUCUUGCUUGUUUUCUUCAGGUCAAAGUACCAAUCACACAUUUUGAUCACUUCACUGACAUCCACACCAGCACCGUGAUACACUCCUGUCGGUGCUUGGAUAUAAAGUCAGACCAUCUUUUGCACCAUUGUUUGUCAGUAAAGCUCAGAACAAAUAAAACCUCUCAGGCAGGCUGAUGGAAAUUUUCUUGGAGGUUCUACGUGUGCUUUUCUGACAGCCCAAAACUAUGAAAGGAAUUAAUACUACAGUGUCACCACAGAGAAGAAAUUAGUCAUGCUUAGUUGUUCAGCAGCAGUUUUACAGGUAUUUAUCUGAAUCACUUUAUCCAU